AAACCCCCUCGCCGAAAGACUAAGGUUUCCUGAUCAACGCUAAUCGGAUCAGGGUAAGUCGGGUCCUAAGGCUCAGCCGAACGGCGAGGCCGAUGGCAGAACCGGUUAAUAUUCCGGUACUACCUGUGGGAGUGACGUGGAGACGGAGUCGUGACAGCGCCGCGGACUGACGGAAUAGUCCGUUGAAGGGUGUAGAUGCUGAUUGUUCCAGGCAAAUCCGGAGCAAGAGUCGAACCUGAUAGUAUGGAGCGUUCUUAGAACAAUCUAAUAGUGCGUGUAAUCAUACUUCCAAGAAAAUCCGCUAAACUUAAUCCUGCAGGUACCCGUACCGCAAACGGACACACGUAGUCGGGUUGAAUAUACUAAGGCGCUUGAGUGAUUCACGGUUAAGGAACUAGGCAAACUGACCCUGUAACUUCGGGAUAAAGGGUCCUCGCUUAACGGCGAGGCGCAGAGAAUAGGUCCAGGCAACUGUUUAACAAAAACACAGGGCUGUGCAAAAUUGAAAGAUGAAGUAUACAGCCUGACACCUGCCCGGUGCUGGAAGGUUAAGAGGAGAUGUCAUCGCAAGAGAAGCAUUGAAUUGAAGCCCCAGUAAACGGCGGCCGUAACUAUAACGGUCCUAAGGUAGCGAAAUUCCUUGUCGGGUAAGUUCCGACCUGCACGAAUGGUGUAAUGAUCUGGACGCUGUCUCAACCGUGAGCUCAGUGAAAUUGUAGUAUCGGUGAAGAUGCCGAUUACCCGCGAUGGGACGAAAAGACCCCGUGAACCUUUACUAUAGCUUAACAUUGAAUUUGGGUAAUUGAUGUGUAGGAUAGGCCGGAGGCUUUGAAGCGGGCACGCCAGUGUCCGUGGAGCCGCUGUUGAAAUACGGCCCUUUGAUUAUUUGAGUUCUAACCCGUUGUUGCGGGGACACUGUUUGGUGGGUAGUUUGACUGGGGUGGUCGCCUCCAAAAGUGUAACGGAGGCUUCUAAAGGUGCCCUCACGACGAUUGGUAACCGUCGGCAGAGUGUAAUGGCAUAAGGGCGCUUGACUGGGAGACUUACAAGUCGAUCAGGUAGGAAACUAGAGCAUAGUGAUCCGGUGUUUCCGUAUGGAAGGGACAUCGCUCAAAGGAUAAAAGGUACUCCGGGGAUAACAGGCUGAUCCCUCCCAAGAGCUCAUAUCGACGGAGGGGUUUGGCACCUCGAUGUCGGCUCGUCACAUCCUGGGGCUGGAGAAGGUCCCAAG
rnacentral:rRNA from 1 species